rnacentral:rRNA from 1 species
AUUGAACGCUGGCGGCAGGCCUAACACAUGCAAGUCGAGCGGAUGAAGGGAGCUUGCUCCUGGAUUCAGCGGCGGACGGGUGAGUAAUGCCUAGGAAUCUGCCUGGUAGUGGGGGAUAACGUCCGGAAACGGGCGCUAAUACCGCAUACGUCCUGAGGGAGAAAGUGGGGGAUCUUCGGACCUCACGCUAUCAGAUGAGCCUAGGUCGGAUUAGCUAGUUGGUGGGGUAAAGGCCUACCAAGGCGACGAUCCGUAACUGGUCUGAGAGGAUGAUCAGUCACACUGGAACUGAGACACGGUCCAGACUCCUACGGGAGGCAGCAGUGGGGAAUAUUGGACGAUGGGCGAAAGCCUGAGCCAGCCAUGCCGCGUGUGUGAAGAAGGUCUUCGGAUUGUAAAGCACUUUAAGUUGGGAGGAAGGGCAGUAAGUUAAUACCUUGCUGUUUUGACGUUACCAACAGAAUAAGCACCGGCUAACUUCGUG